GGACGAACGCUGGCGGCGUGCUUAACACAUGCAAGUCGAACGGAAAGGCCUCUUGCUUGCAAGGGGUACUCGAGUGGCGAACGGGUGAGUAACACGUGGGUGAUCUGCCUUGCACUCUGGGAUAAGCUUGGGAAACUGGGUCUAAUACCGGAUAUGAACUGCCUUUAGUGUGGUGGUUGGAAAGUUUUUUCGGUGCAAGAUGAGCUCGCGGCCUAUCAGCUUGUUGGUGGGGUAAUGGCCUACCAAGGCGUCGACGGGUAGCCGGCCUGAGAGGGUGUACGGCCACAUUGGGACUGAGAUACGGCCCAGACUCCUACGGGAGGCAGCAGUGGGGAAUAUUGCACAAUGGGCGGAAGCCUGAUGCAGCGACGCCGCGUGGGGGAUGACGGCCUUCGGGUUGUAAACUCCUUUCGACAGGGACGAAGCUUUUUGUGACGGUACCUGUAUAAGAAGCACCGGCUAACUACGU
rnacentral:rRNA from 5 species